UGUUAAGUUCAAGUCUAUCUCGGGCUCUAGAAGCAGCGUGUAGUAAAACGGACACCUAGGGUUUCGAUGAUCCACAUAUGGAUGAAAAGAUAAUUUUAUAAGCUAACUAAUGGAUUUGGUUUGAGGCCCAAAUUCUAUUGGAGUCAACAGGAAUCAUUGAAACAUUUUGAUGUCUAGAAUCUAUCAAGGCGCUGCGUCGUUGUCUUUUUUGGCCGUUGGGCCUUGUAACGUGUUGGGACACCUUAUGGACAUAAAGUGGGGACUAUGGACGCCCCUUAGGUUAUAUAAUCAGUAGCCGCCGCCUACUUUAGGGUUUGGGUUUUUCUUAGAUUAUUAUGUUUACAACAGUUUUGCCGUCAUCGGUUUGUGAGGCCCCAACUCUGUGAGAUUAUUCAUUCAUCUACAGAUUCGGUUGCAUUCUUUCUUAUUUUUGCUUGUAUUCUUCAAUUCAUAGGCAAGGAUUUGCCUUCUUGGCAAGGUCAACCGUGCAGCGCAGGUCGAUAACCUGAGGAGACGUGGUGCUAAGGUUGUAGGGUUCAGGUCUCUGUGAUCUGAAGCCAGAUCGAUGUGUCACUCUCCGAAUAAAUCAUUGUUUAUCUUGAACCUGAUGAAAGAUCAGGAACCCUCUCCUCAUUAUUUGGUAUUCAGAGCCUCAGGUAUACCGUCAAGUUCAUAUUUACUCUAGUUUAGUUGAUUUUCUUUGUCUCAUAGUCUACCGCCAUAUUUAUUUCCUAUCCAACAACCAUCUGCGUCAUCACCUUGCAUAUUUUAGUUUUCAGAGUUCACCGUAUUGAGUUUGUGUCCUAGGUCAAGGUCUUGUUGAUAGUUUAGAUUUUGUUCUUUUCUAGUUUGGGUUAUUCUCUCCGUCAUCCCGUAUCACCAUCUGUUUGCAUCUUGUCUCCACUAAAACCCUAAUUUGAGCAGUUUUCUUAAAACUAUCAUAACUUUUAUAUCCGAACUCGAAACGGGGGGAAAUUUUAUACCUACGGAGAACGCUAGAAAAUUUUAGAUCCAUUCUAUCUUAGCAUGCUUGGGUUCACAAAAAUUAGAUUUAUGAAAUUUGAUCAAGAAAAUCAAGUUUCUGGGCCCACAAGUUUUGGCAUGCUUUCUAGAGUACAACCCUGAUUUUCUAUAGGCCACAUCUUUUAUCUAAUUGAGCUAAAUUUUUUUGUGGUUUGUCCUAGUAUACUUCUUGCUAAGAAAAAAAUAAAAGGGCAAAAGAAAAAAUGGACAAAAAAAGAAAAAAUAGUAAAAAAUAGAAGAGAUCGGAAAAGGAGCACACAGGGAACACUCAAUAGCUCUAUUAUUUGUGGUGCCUUUUGCCUUGUCCAUAUUUCUAUUGCUACCUUUCAUAUUUAUUUCACUCCUUUGUUUAUCAUAACUGGUGCUAGGAACACGUAUAGGCCAGCAACUAGGACAAGUGCUCUGAACAUUUAUUCAACAUUGCUAUAUGUUACUAACUUAUGUGCCAUAUAUACAUAUUUAUUCUUUUGUGUGCCUCCUAAGCUCCACAUAUACUUCAGAUCGGCACAGAAAAGGACCCUUGCAAUCUUGGGCUAUGCCUUUUAGGUAUCCUUUGCCUUGAUAGUAUGAACCUUGUAAGCACUUGAUAAGGUGUUUUCUUUGCUGUGAUCUUAAGAGGCACUACUCCACCUGCGUAGUUGAAUUAUUUAGGAUAAUCUUCACUGUUUGUUGUUGUGGUUUGUGUCUAUAAUGGUAGGUUAUAACACUCAUCAAUAUGAGACAUCUAUGAUGCAUGAGACACGCACUAUUGUUGCUACACCUUCUCUCACAGGUCAUUCUAUUCUUUCUUCUCUGCCUACUUAUGAUGAUAUUGGUGUUGAUGAUUACAUUGAGUGGGAAAGUAAAAUAGAUAAUAUUUUUGCACAACGUCAUAUGUGUGAACGGAGAAAGAUUAAAAAUGCAUCUAGUGUUUUGCAACAUUUAGCAUCAACUUGGUGGGAGUCUUUAAGUUCUUCAGAUAAACCUCAU
rnacentral:lncRNA from 1 species